rnacentral:rRNA from 1 species
GAUGAACGCUGGCGGCGUGCCUAAUACAUGCAAGUCGAACGAGCCGUCGAUAAGCUUGCUUCCUUGCUGUUAGCGAUGGACGGGUGAGUGGCACAUGGAUAACCUACCUAUAAGACUGGUAUAACAACGGGAGACCGGAGCUAAGGCAACAGGAGAUUUUACACCAUAACGAUCAAAAGUGCAAGGCGGCCUUGUUAUCACUGAUAGUAGUACCGCCGCUGCAUUAGCUAGUUGGUAAGGUAACGGCUUACCAAGGCAACGAUGCAUAGCCGAACUGAGAGGGUGAUCGGCCACACUGGAACUGAGACACGGUCCAGACUCCUACGGGAGGCAGCAGUAGGGAAUCUUCCGCAAUGGGCGAAAGCCUGACGGAGCAACGCCGCGUGAGUGAUGAAGGUCUUCGGAUCGUAAAACUCUGUUAUUAGGGAAGAACAUAUGUGUAAGUAACUGUGCACAUCUUGACGGUACCUAAUCAGAAAGCCACGGCUAACUACGUG